rnacentral:rRNA from 1 species
AAUGAACGUUGGCGGCGUGGAUUAGGCAUGCAAGUCGAACGAAUCCCGUAGCAAUACGGGGGAAGUGGCGAAAGGGGCAGUAAGGCGUGGACAACCUGCCCCGGGCUCCAGGAUAGCCUUCCUAACGGAUGGGUAAUACUGGGUACGCUCGCUUGGGGACAUCCCCGAGCGAGGAUAGUUCCGACGGCCCGGGAGGGGUUCACGUGAUAUUAGCUAGUUGGUGGGGUAACGGCCCACCAAGGCCAAGAUGUCUAGCGGGUGUGAGAGCACGACCCGCGCCACUGGCACUGGGACACUGGCCAGACUCCUACGGGAGGCUGCAGUCGAGGAUCUUCGGCAAUGGGCGCAAGCCUGACCGAGCGACGCCGCGUGAGCGAUGAAGGCCUUCGGGUCGUAAAGCUCUGUCGUGGGGGAGAAAAGGGUUAAACCUUGAUCGACCCCAGGAGGAAGCACGGGCUAAGUUCGUGCCAGCCGCCGCAGUAAAAC